CCCUUAGAUGUUCUGGGCCGCACGCGCGCUACACUGACGAUGGCAACGAGUUUUUCCUUCGCCGAAAGGUGUGGGUAAUCUUUUGAAACAUCGUCGUGCUGGGGAUAGAUCAUUACAAUUUUUGAUCUUGAACGAGGAAUUCCUAGUAAGCGCGAGUCAUCAGCUCGCGUUGAUUACGUCCCUGCCCUUUGUACACACCGCCCGUCGCUACUACCGAUUGAAUGGUUUAGUGAGGACUCCUGAUUGGCGCCGCCGCCCCGGCAACGGAGCAGCGGACUGCCGAAAAGUUGUUCAAACUUGAUCAUUUAGAGGAAGUAAAAGUCGUAACA
rnacentral:rRNA from 1 species